rnacentral:rRNA from 1 species
AGGAGCGAUCUUACUAGCACUAAUGCACCCGAUGCCAUCCGAACUCCGCUGUGAAGCGUGCUCGGGCGAAAGUAGUACUAGGAUGGGUGACCUCCUGGGAAGUCCCGUGUUGCACAUC